rfam:Tupaia chinensis contig173139, whole genome shotgun sequence.
ACAAAGGCUCUUUUCAGAGCCACCUAAACUGUCUUGAAAAAGCUGG